rnacentral:tRNA from 1 species
UCCCUGGUGGUCCAGUGGUUAGGACUCUGUGCUUUCACUGCCAAGGGCCCAGGUUCAACCCCUGGGUCACGGAA